AGAGUUUGAUCCUGGCUCAGAACGAACGCUGGCGGCGUGGAUAAGACAUGCAAGUUGAACGGUUGAUUCAAGGUAGCAAUAUUUUGGGUUAGCAGUGGCGUAAGGGUGCUUAACACGUGGGUAAUCUGCCGCGAAGUGUGGGAUAACUCGCUGAAAGGCGAGCUAAUACCGCAUGUGAUUUUCCUGAGGCAUCUCAGGGAUCUCAAACAUGGGUCGCAAGGCCUGUGGUUUCGCGAUGAGCCCGCGGCCUAUCAGCUAGUUGGCGGGGUAAAAGCCCACCAAGGCUAAGACGGGUAGCUGGUCUGAGAGGACGACCAGCCACACUGGAACUGAGACACGGUCCAGACACCUACGGGUGGCAGCAGUCGAGAAUUUUUCACAAUGGGGGAAACCCUGAUGGAGCGACGCCGCGUGGGGGAUGAAGGGCUUCGGUUCGUAAACCCCCGUCAUUGGCGAACAAGUGUUACGUUCUAAUACAGCGUGACUUGAUAGUAGCCGAAGAGGAAGGGACGGCUAACUCUGUGCCAGCAGCCGCGGUAAUACAGAGGUCCCGAGCGUUGUUCGGAUUCACUGGGCGUAAAGGGUGCGUAGGUGGUUGGGUAAGUUUGAGGUGAAAGCUCCGAGCCUAACUCGGAAAAUGCCUUGAAGACUAUCUGACUAGAGGAUUGGAGGGGAGAUUGGAAUUCUCGGUGUAGCAGUGAAAUGCGUAGAUAUCGAGAGGAACACCAGUAGCGAAGGCGAAUCUCUGGACAAUUCCUGACACUGAGGCACGAAAGCCAAGGGAGCAAACGGGAUUAGAUACCCCGGUAGUCUUGGCUGUAAACGGUGCGCACUUGCUGUGAGCGGAUUCGACCCCGCUCGUGGCGUAGUUAACACGAUAAGUGCGCCGCCUGGGAAGUACGGUC
rnacentral:rRNA from 1 species